rnacentral:rRNA from 1 species
CAUCAGCCGCCGCGGGAAAACGGAGGAUCCGAGCGUUAUCCGGAAUUAUUGGGUUUAAAGGGUGCGUAGGCGGACAGAUAAGUCAGUGGUGAAAGACGGUGGCUCAACCAUCGCAGUGCCGUUGAUACUGUUUAUCUUGAAUAUGGAUGAGGUAGGCGGAAUGUGGCAAGUAGCGGUGAAAUGCAUAGAUAUGCCACAGAACACCGAUUGCGAAGGCAGCUUACCAAGGCAAAAUUGACGCUGAGGCACGAAAGCGUGGGGAUCGAACAGGAUUAGAUACCCGGGUAGUCCCUGUCUCUUAUAA